rnacentral:rRNA from 1 species
ACGGGAGGCAGCAGUGAGGAAUAUUGGUCAAUGGGCGAGAGCCUGAACCAGCCAUGUCGCGUGGAGGAAUAAGGAUCUAUGGUUCGUAAACUCCUUUUGCGGGGGGAUAAAGUGCGGGACGCGUCCCGUUUUGUAGGUACCCCGCGAAUAAGCAUCGGCUAACUCCGUGCCAGCAGCCGCGGUAAUACGGAGGAUGCGAGCGUUAUCCGGAUUUAUUGGGUUUAAAGGGUGCGUAGGCUGUGCGACAAGUCAGGGGUGAAAGCCCGCCGCCCAACGGUGGAACUGCCUUUGAUACUGUCGCGCUGGAAUACGGAUGCCGUGGGAGGAAUGAGUAGUGUAGCGGUGAAAUGCAUAGAUAUUACUCAGAACACCGAUUGCGAAGGCAUCUCACGAAUCCGUCAUUGACGCUGAGGCACGAAAGCGUGGGGAUCAAACAGGAUUAGAUACCCUGGUA